GAGACAUGAUGAGUAACAAAUUGGUCCGUGUUUCAGAUUAACCAUGACUGAUAAUUUUACACCAAAUUCUGAUCUU
rnacentral:snoRNA from 1 species